AACGAACGCUGGCGGCAUGCCUAACACAUGCAAGUCGAACGAGACCUUCGGGUCUAGUGGCGCACGGGUGCGUAACGCGUGGGAAUCUGCCCCUUGGUUCGGAAUAACAGUUAGAAAUGACUGCUAAUACCGGAUGAUGACGAAAGUCCAAAGAUUUAUCGCCGAGGGAUGAGCCCGCGUAGGAUUAGCUAGUUGGUGAGGUAAAGGCUCACCAAGGCGACGAUCCUUAGCUGGUCUGAGAGGAUGAUCAGCCACACUGGGACUGAGACACGGCCCAGACUCCUACGGGAGGCAGCAGUGGGGAAUAUUGGACAAUGGGCGAAAGCCUGAUCCAGCAAUGCCGCGUGAGUGAUGAAGGCCUUAGGGUCGUAAAGCUCUGUUGUAAGGGACGAAGCGCAAGUGACGGUACCUGGAGAAGAAGCACCGGCCAACUACGUG
rnacentral:rRNA from 1 species